UGCCCCGUAGCCAAGUGGUAAGGCAUCAGACUUUGACUCUGACAUUCCGUUGGUUCGAACCCAGCCGGGGCAGCCA
rnacentral:tRNA from 1 species